UUUUGUUUUCAAUCACAAUAAAUAUGUAUUUAAAAACCUUGUGAGUUUGAUAUGUUUUAAGAUAGUAGUAUAAGGUAAGAAAUGGGAGGGUUUGCAAAAUAUUAAGUGGGACACUCAAUUUUGUUAAAAUAAAAGUUUGAAAUGUUGAUACUGCCAAAAUCAUAAAAUACUCAACCUUUCAAAAACUAAUCAUAUAAGGCUGAUGUGGUAUCCAUGCAACACUAGCCAGCCAAUAACUAAUCCCAAACUCAGUGAAUCCAAUGUGGUGCCCGAACUGAAUUAGCAUGGCACACGAAUCCAAGUUGGUGCCCAAGCCCAACAUGAACACUUAUUAGAAUAACAUAUAUAGGCGUAGGCUAGCUCAGUUGUGAUCAUGACAAGGCAGGCAAUUGAAACAACCAAAUUCAAGAGGGAGAAAUGGAAUCAGGGUCAUUUAUUAUGCAAAAGAGUGAACUAAGAUUGCAGAAAGGCUAAAGGAUUCUUGGCAUAAACCAUAAAAGUGAAUCACACAAAUUUUUGUAAGACUCAAAUGGGAUAUCAAGAAUUCAGAGAUUGUUGAGUGGAAACCUUCCAAAAUACUAGUAAAUCGAAAUUUACAUCAUUCAGCAUGUUACGCACGCAUUGCUUGCUGAUUUCUUUUCUUUGAUGAAUUUUACCCAAUUCAAUGGAGUUAAUAGAAACAACAGAAGAAUCAAAACCAGCUGAAAAAGGAAAUUGAAUUGCAAAUCACAGAGUACAAAGGUCACAAACACCAGCUCACCACUUUCUACUAUAUACACACAUUCACAUGACUCCGAAUCCCAAAUCUAAAAUCUAUCCAAAGACAACCUACUUAUUUAUUUCUUCUUAUUCUUAUUAUCUAAAGCACUAUCAUUGCCGUUCCCUCCUGUUGCUGCUCUUCUUGCUGCUUUUUCUUCUGGUGCUUUGGCAUCCCUGCACCAUAAAAUCAAAUACCCACAUUUUACAUUAUUACUUUAUUAUGUUACUAUUAACCCAAUUGAUCAAGUAUUAAGAGGGAGAAACCUCUCUCGUCUUUGCUCAGGGGUCAAUCCAUCAUCUCGUCUUAACUUAAAUUAAGGCUCAAUCAAACAAACAUAUAUGAAUAUGUUAUAUGCUGAAGAAUUCCAGUCUAUGUUGAAACUAACAACAGAGAAAAUGGGGAAAAUAUAUAUUUCCAAUUAUUGAAAAAGAAUUAAUUAUCUUUUCAAAUCAACUGUGUUGUUUGCUGUUAGAACAUCAAAUCUAAGGGGUCAAAACAACUCUUUAUUACAAAACAACAAAUUAGUUCACAAAAAACAAAUCUUUCCCCAAUUUUCUCAGCAACCAAACAGAACAAAGAAGAAAGAAGAGGGUGAUCUUGAACAGAGCCCAAGAAAAAGAUUCAAUCGACAACAGCUAUAAGAGCCUGGCAAAAAUAUUUACAAAAAGAGAAGACCCAUCAAUUGAUGAACACAAGAUAAUAAUCUAAACCUCAACAUAAAAAAAAUGAGAGAGAAAAAUACCUGUUUAAGGUAGACAAACGGAGGGCUAAGCUCUUCAAGUUGACUUUAAUCCAUCCGGCAACAGAUACAGAGAAAGAUGAUGAAAUGGAGGUUUUAUCUGGAGAGGAUAUAUAUAUAUAUAUAUAUAGUACUACUCCACUAAUGUGCAGCAGAGUCGAGAAGCCACAGAAAUUAAUUUUUAAAGAUUAAUGUUAAUAUUAGGUGCUAAUAAUGGUAUGUGAUUAACU
rnacentral:lncRNA from 1 species